UGAUGAUGGAAGCCGUGUCUGCAGCUGAU
rnacentral:piRNA from 1 species